CUACAUUUAAAAAUUAAAAGUUAAAACAAAAUCACUUCCAAGCCCGUGCCCUCCCUCCUCCCUUUUUUCCCCAAUUCGAAAAUCUUCACCUCCGGUCCACCCUCCUCCACCGAUCCACCUCCGGUCCUCCACGGCUGACGGCUCCACCCAAUUCCAAAAUCAGAGUACCUUAAUUUGAGCUCUGCCUCUGCGAAUCUUUCUAAAGCAAUUGAUUGGGUACAGGAAAUGAUAUUCAACCUACCCACCGAUUAGUUUCCUUCUGCUUGAUGGACUCAGCUUUAGCUGCUUGAAGUUUGUUGCAAAGAUGAGUGAUCCAAAGCGAGAUGGUUCAACUCAAAGUUCACAAAAUUCUUCCCCAAGUAGAGAUGAUCAAACAACAACCCAGGAAAAUGUUCGAAAAAAGGAUUAUAAAUUUUUAACAGAGGAUAUCUUAUAUGGUUUUAACAGCACAUUGGGUGGAUGAUGAGUGGAGGUUGCAAAAAAGGAUUAUAAAUUUUUUCCCAAUAUCCGCUCAUAGAGGUGAAAGCAUAGGUCAAGCCAUCGAAAAAUGUCUUCGAGAUUGGGGGAUUGAGAGGGUCUUCACUAUUAUAGUUGAUAAUGCAUCCGCCAAUAGUGUUGCCAUUGAAUAUUUGAGAAAGAAAUUGAAUCAUCGAAAUGUUUCUGUUGCAAAUGGAAGAUUUAUUCAUAUGAGAUGUGUUGCACACAUUCUUAAUCUCAUUGUGCAAUACGGUAUUAAAGAUGCUUCUGUGUCUGUGGAUCGAGUUAGAGGUGCUGUGAGGUAUAUAAGAGCAUCACCAUCGAGGUUGACAAAAUUCAACCAACGAGUAAAAGAAGAAAUGAUAGAUAGUAAGGCUCAAUUGUGUUUAGAUGUGCCUACUAGAUAGAACUCAACAUAUAUGAUGUUAAAGGUGGCCGAAAAAUAUGAGCGUUCAUUUGAUUCAUAUGUACGUGAUGACCAUAAUUUUUUUCUUGACCUUACUGCUAGAGAUGGAGUUCCUACAUUUGAUGAUUGGGAAAUUGUUCGAAAAAUUAUAAAAGUAUUAGAGCCUUUUUAUCAUCUUACAUUGAAGGUGUCCGGAUCUUUGCAUGUUACCUCUCAUUCACUUUUUGAAGUAUUGACGGAUGUGCAUUGUCUUUUUUAUGGGUGGCAAGAUUGUGGAGAUCUAGACAUAAUUUCUAUGACUUCCAAAAUGAGAAAGAAAUAUAAUAAGUAUUGGGGUGAAGGAAACAAGAUCAACAUGCUAGUUUACUUGGCAGUCAUCUUUGAUCCGCGAUGUAAAAUGAGUUUUUUGGACUUUGGGGUCAACUUGCUUUUUCCUAAUGUUGCUAAUGACAUUAUGAAAAUGUUUGAUAAAGAUUUGCAUUGCUUGUUCAAUGAGUAUUCUUCUAAUGCCGGGAGAAUUGAAUUGUUUGAAGGUAGAUCUAGUUCUUCGAUAAAUCUUUGUAGUUCAAUGGAAAUAGAUCAGUCAGAAAUGAAAACGGGCUUGGCCAAACAAAAAUACCUUAAUAAGAAUAAACAAGUUAGAUUAGAAAGCAAAUCUGAGUUGGAUAGAUAUUUGGGUGAGGAUGAAGAACUAAACAAUUCAAGUUCAUUUGAUUUACUAUUAUGAUGGAAAAUGAACAGUCCUAGAUUCUCUAUUCUUGCACAAAUGGCUCGAGAUAUUCUUGCUAUUCCUAUCUCAACAGUUGCCUCGGAAAGUGCAUUUAGCACCGGUGGACGUGUUCUCGAUAGUUUUAGAAGUUCUCUAACUCCUCUCAUGGUCGAAGCUUUGGUUUGCACACAAGAUUGGCUUCGGAAAUCUAAUGAUGCCAUUAAUCUUGAAGAUUAUUUUGAUGAACUUCAAACAAUGGAAUAUGACUUAUCCAAAAUACCAAGAUCAAGAAGGUAACAUACUUAGCAUUAGUUUAUAAAGUUAAAUGUUUAUUUAAUUUAUUUUUGCAAAAUGUUUUAUUAUUUAACUAACUCAUUCAAUACUUUUACUAAAUGUUU